UUUGUGAUUCUUCAGUUGCUUCAGGCCAUCUGGAUGUAUAUGUGCAGGCUUGGGCUCAGAGGCCUGACACUCAGCAGCUACUACCACCAUUGGCACCACUGGCACCACUGCCACCACCCCACUGCACCCCAGUUGCUUCACUCUCCAUCACAGAAGCCUUUUCAGCAACAGCCAACAUUUGUACCCUCACCAAGCCCUCUGAUUUUCCCAAUCACAAGGCCUUCACUACAAUAUUUUCUUCAUUCACAAGUGUCACCUAUUCUCCAUCCCCAAGGCUUACUUCCUUCAACGCUGACCAUUCCUCCAGCAUUUCUUAUUCUAAAGAGGAACAGAUUCAGGUUGCAUCAGCUGUCCUCCUAUGUCCACAAUCCAAAUGCUAUGGGAUACUAUGGCAGACAAGUUUUCCAGUUCUUCAGGAAGUAGCAACUGAGAUACGGUGUUUUUCAUUUCCUCUCCCUUCAAAUUUUACAAGAGAAUCAAGGAAUUUGAGGACCAAAGCACCACAAACACAAGAGUAAGCACAGCAAAUAUGACAAGGGGACUGAAGUAAGCCCCUAUGGGAAUAGGAUCUGCUGAAGGAAUCAAGAGGGAUGGACAAAGGAACAGAAGACACUCAAGAAUAACUUCAGGAAGUCUCCUUACCGCCUCACCUGCUUUCCCUCUGUCCUACACAUCCAGCCUUGCAAAGAAAUAAGAGUAAAGAGAAAAGUCCAUGUAGCACCAUCCCAGUUCAGAAGCAACCCCCAAGAUAUGGGUCAACUUUAUCACCUCAAACUCUACUCAUUUAUAAUGACAAAAUUCAACUGUUAACACAUAGCAAAGACUCAAAAGAGAUUCUGCAUUUCACAUCAGUUCACAAGUUCAAGAGUCUUCCAUUUAUCUUAGCUUUUGGAAUAAAUUAUCUUUGAGGUAGAAGGACAAUGACGAAGCCACUUAAUUCCUUGUGUCUGCAUAAAAGCAGAUUUAUUCAUCACAACUUCAUUUAUGUGAAUAAAGCAGAUGAUGAUAAAA
rnacentral:lncRNA from 1 species